rnacentral:rRNA from 1 species
CCUACGGGAGGCAGCAGUGGGGAAUAUUGCACAAUGGGGGAAACCCUGAUGCAGCGACGCCGCGUGAAGGAAGAAGUAUUUCGGUAUGUAAACUUCUAUCAGCAGGGAAGAAAAUGACGGUACCUGACUAAGAAGCCCCGGCUAACUACGUGCCAGCAGCCGCGGUAAUACGUAGGGGGCAAGCGUUAUCCGGAUUUACUGGGUGUAAAGGGAGCGUAGGCGGUGCAGCAAGUCAGAAGUGAAAGCCCGGGGCUCAACCCCGGGACUGCUUUUGAAACUGGUGAACUAGAUUGCAGGAGAGGUAAGUGGAAUUCGUAGUGUAGCGGUGAAAUGCGUAGAUAUUAGGAGGAACACCAGUUGCGAAGGCAGCUUACUGGACUGUAAAUGACGCUGAGGCACGAAGGCCAGGGGAGCGAAAGGGAUUAGAUACCCCAGUAGUC